GACCCCUUGAGGAAAGCCCAGCGACGCCGGGCCAGCGCAUUCUUAUUUUAUGUAUGAGCAAACUAUGGAAUGGAAAAGAGAUUAUGAGUUAUUACUUGAUUUGAUUUGCCCUAAGUGUUUUUUAAACGUAUGGAUUUAGCGCCAACAUUUAAAAAGAAGGUAUAUUUUAAUUAAAAAUCAGGAAUUGAUUUAAUUUAAAAUUUGGCUCCUCUUACAGGAAGAUCUGGCAAGAGUUAGCGUGCAGUUCUACAUUGUGACAAUUCAUGAGAGCUAAGGACUGGCUGUCUCUUGGGACAAAUAGGCUUUCUUGAGUCUGCAUGAGGCCCUCACCAGAUACAGCCACCUGAUCUUGGACUUCACAGCCUCCAGAAAUAUGCCCUGGAAUACACUUGUGUCAGUGACAAAUGCUGCUUUGCUGUGCUACAUCGAGUACAAGAGAAAUACAUGGGCUAUCUUCAGCACAGAACACAAACUCUGCCUUCUUUUCUCAAGUCCAGUGAUUCAAGUUUGACACACCACACCACGGUGGAUGUGCCUUGUCAUGACACAUCUUCUCAGCAGCACUAGAAGAUACAUCCAAAGUCCUGUGAGCAAGGACACAGCGAGAAGAUGGCUGUCUACAAGCCAGGAAGAGAGUCCUCACCAGAACCAAACCCUGCUGGACUUUGAUCUUGGACUUCCCAGCCUCUAAAACUGUGAAGACAUAAAUUUCUGUUGUUAAACCCACACAGGUCUGUGGUAUCUGUUUAUUAUGGCAGCCCAGUAAGACUAAGACAGGCCAUCACAAGACAUGAAUGUUUUGGACCUUCUCUUGGGCCCUAGUAAACAGAAAUCAGGCUAUUAAACUAAUCCACGUUCUAAACUGUUAUUGCUACUGGAAAAUGGUCCCGAUCCAGACCCCAAAAGAGGAUUCU
rnacentral:lncRNA from 1 species